UGCCUCCCCAGCGGCACUCGGGCAUCCACUAGCUUCGCUGGCGUUAGCACAUUCUGUUUUGACCACACCCGGAAGACUUGGGAAGUGUUCCUCAUCCUUAGAGCUGUCUCUGCAAAACCACCUGAAUUAACAACCUAAAAAUGCUUUUGAUGCUGUUGAACUUGCCCACAAUAAAAGCAGUAUGUAAAACUAAUCUACGGUGGAAAAAAAAAUCAGAACAGCAUUUGCCUCUGAAGUUGUGAGGAUGAAAGAAGAAACAUGAGGGAAUUUGCUGGACUGAUGGGAAUAUUCUGUAUCUUGAUCAGGAUUUGUGUUACACAAAUGUAUCCACUUGUCAAAAACCACUGAAUGGUAUA